CAAUAGCGUAUAUUUAAGUUGUUGCAGUUAAAAAGCUCGUAGUUGGAUUUCGGAUGGGAUUUGCCGGUCCGUCGUUACGAUGUGCACUGGCCAGUCCUAUCUUGUUGUCGGGGACUAGCUCCUUGGAUUCACUUCCUGGGACUAGGAGCUGACGAGGUUACUUUGAGUAAAUUAGAGUGUUCAAAGCAAGCCUACGCUCUGAAUACAUUAGCAUGGAAUAACACGAUAGGACUCUGGCUUAUCUUGUUGGUCUGUGAGACCAGAGUAAUGAUUAAGGGGGACAGUCGGGGACAUUCGUAUUUCAUUGUCAGAGGUGAAAUUCUUGGAUUUAUGAAAGACGAACUUCUGCGAAAGCAUUUGUCAAGGAUGUUUUCAUUAA
rnacentral:rRNA from 1 species